UACGUAGGGCGCAAGCGUUGUCCGGAAUUAUUGGGCGUAAAGAGCUCGUAGGCGGCUUGUCACGUCGAUUGUGAAAGCCCGAGGCUUAACCUCGGGUCUGCAGUCGAUACGGGCUAGCUAGAGUGUGGGAGGGGAGAUCGGAAUUCCUGGUGUAGCGGUGAAAUGCGCAGAUAUCAGGAGGAACACCGGUGGCGAAGGCGGAUCUCUGGGCCAUUACUGACGCUGAGGAGCGAAAGCGUGGGGAGCGAACAGG
rnacentral:rRNA from 1 species